rnacentral:tRNA from 2 species
AUUUAGAUAGUUUAAUAAAAAUAUUGAUUUGUGAUAUCAAAGAUAAAAUGUAGUUUUUUUAGAUA